UUUUAGUAAUAAUAAAAUUUUAAAUAGUACACAUAUAUCAUGAAAUAGAGUUUGGUGUGGUGGUUUGCCACCCAUUUAGCUUACUAUAGGCCAAGGUUCAGAUCUCAUGUUUACAAUUUUGUUUUUAAAUUUAUUUGGAGUAUAGCAAGUUUUGAACCCCCACCCUCCAAGUCAAAUUAAGUAUUUACCAUUACACCAACACAGUUAUUGAACAAAAAAUGAAUAUCAAAAUAUUUUAAUAGGGGUCCCAAUUUUAUUUUGCCUUGGGCCCAAAUUGAUUAUCAUAAUAGACAAACUUUUUUACAAAACAGCAAUUAGGGUUCAUUUUUUUUCACCAACAUAGAACCACAAUGAGAAGAAAGGGAGAAGGGGCUCGGGCCGUACGAUGGUAGGGGAGGCUCAGGCUGGUGGUCGAUAGCACAGGGGGCUCAGGGUCGGGCUGUACGGAGCAGGGUAGGCUCAAGCUGGGCUCGACGGCACCUGGGAGCUUGAGAGGUGGGCUUGACGGCGGGUGGGGUUCUCGGGGCUGGCUGGGCUCAACGGCACUGGGGUCUCGGGGGGUGGGAUCAACGACACAAGGUCGAGGUUGGCUCGACGGCGGUAGGGACCUCUUGACGGCAGCGGUGGUCUUGGCCGGAGCUAGUUGCAGCGCAUUAAAGUCAUCAUGUGACUGGACGAUAGCUAAUGCCACCCAACUAAAAUAGAAUUCGUGGUGGAAAAUAUUUCUUUGUACAUGGUGACUUUCAGUUUUGGGGCAACAAUGUUGUGAGUCUCAUCAUUUGAGAUAACUAGUUUGAUCACACCGAUCGGAUGAAGAAGAAACGAAAAAGUUCUUUCUUUAACUGGCCUUUUAUGAUAUGAAUGUCGGAAUGUUGAUCAGCAUGUAAUUGGUUGUAUGGCUUGAGACCAUUUUUAGCUAGGUCAGGAGCUUCAACUGGUCAUUUAUUUUGUUUCCUUGA